GAAAAGCAAAGUGAUGUUCUGCAGAAUACUGACCUGGUAAAAUUUACAUAUAUUUGACUUCAGGCAUUUUUCUUUUCACAGUAGCCUGACACACUGGGAGACAGACGCAGUGGCUGAUCUGGAGACUCAGGUGGAUCAGACAAACAUGUUUUACAAAGAGUUCUUUGGCCAGGAAAGGAGGAUGAUCAAUGGAUACCAAAAACCACCUUGAAGCUAAAAGUCUGGAAUGGUCUUUCUCUUCCCACCUUGUGAAUCCUCGCGGUAUUCUGUGCGUGCGUGUCGGAACGCCUCCAGCUCGCUGUCAGAAAGACACGAAGCCCUCCAUCAUGUCUUUCCUUCCACCAUCCUUCUCCUGUCUGCAGAAGAACUUCCAUGGUGAUAAAUUGAGGAAAUAAAUGCUGUAAAAUGU